rnacentral:rRNA from 1 species
CAGACCUCUGAUCAGGAAAGACUA